rnacentral:lncRNA from 1 species
AUCUGGGAUCAGCUAGCUACCUCUGUAGCAGUAAAAUUUUACACAAUCCAGGAACAUCUGGAUGCAGCUGUCCUAAUCAAGAGAGGAGCAGAUUGCAGUUACGCAGAUGUAAAAGUGCCAUCUCUGUUGGAUUCAGGCCUAAAGAAACAGAAACUUCCUGAAUUUCUCAACCAGAAAGUCAGGUGCUGGGAAGAUUAACAUGAAAAAUGGUGGGAAGGCAGAACGAAU